UUGCACGCUGGCGGCAGGCCUCACCCAUGCAAGUCGCGCGGAUGAAGGGAGCUUGCUCCUGGAUUCAGCGGCGGACGGGUGCGUAAUGCCUAGGAAUCUGCCUGGUAGUGGGGGAUAACGUCCGGAAACGGGCGCUAAUACCGCAUACGUCCUGAGGGAGAAAGUGGGGGAUCUUCGGACCUCACGCUAUCAGAUGAGCCUAGGUCGGAUUAGCUAGUUGGUGGGGUAAAGGCCUACCAAGGCGACGAUCCGUAACUGGUCUGAGAGGAUGAUCAGUCACACUGGAACUGAGACACGGUCCAGACUCCUACGGGAGGCAGCAGUGGGGAAUAUUGGACAAUGGGCGAAAGCCUGAUCCAGCCAUGCCGCGUGUGUGAAGAAGGUCUUCGGAUUGUAAAGCACUUUAAGUUGGGAGGAAGGGCAGUAAGUUAAUACCUUGCUGUUUUGACGUUACCAACAGAAUAAGCACCGGCUAACUUCGUG
rnacentral:rRNA from 1 species